rnacentral:rRNA from 1 species
AACGUAGGAGACAAACGUUAUCCGGAGUUACUGGGCGUAAAGGGCGUGUAGGCGGUCUGUUAAGUCUGGCGUGAAAGCUCUCGGCUAAACCGGGAGAGGUCGUUGGAUACUGGCAGACUAGAGGACGGUAGAGGCGUGUGGAAUUCCGGGUGUAGUGGUGAAAUGCGUAGAGAUCCGGAGGAACACCAGUGGCGAAGGCAGCUCGCUGGGACGGUACUGACGCUGAGGCGCGAAAGCGUGGGGAGCAAACAGG